GUUUGAGAGUGCAUGUUUGUUAUUUUAUUUGAAAUCUCCCGUUUUCUAUUUCUAUUACUACCUGUUAGUGGUACUGUUCACAUUUGGGGCCAACAGUUUCAGGGUACUUUUACCCUCUCCUACCACCCCUAACAACAAUUUUUAAAAAAGAGAGAAACUAAAAGCCGGAACUUGAGAAAAUAGGAUUAUAUAAAAGAUAAAAUGACUGAUACAGAAUUCUCACCACGUAAAGGAUUUCUGCUGGCUUCCUUUAAGGCAUGAACUUCAAGUGCAACACAGUGAGAGACUUUACAAGUUUGAGUCACAAGCAUUUGUGGAAUGGAGCGGGGGAUGGGGAGCAGUUUUUGUUUUUUCUAAUUCUGGUGAGGUAAUAAAUUUUCCGGAACCUUUUUUAAGAAAGGUUUACAAGUAAAUAGAAAUAUCCGUUUUAUGUAAGCUUUUCAACACUUGGGAGAUCGGUGAACUUCAUUGCAGUUAAUGAAUAUUUUCUGCCUUUAUUGCUUGCUUUUCUGCUUUGGGUGACUGAAAUAUUAACUUUAUUUGAGUUUCAAGAUACCGAUCAUUUAAGAAUCUGAUGAUGAACCUUUAAAAACCAGCUACUAAUUUCUUGACAUAACUGAUACAGCUUUUAAUAAUGUACUGUUGCUGGCUAGGCUUUUAAAAAUUUAAUAUUCAUAGGGAGGCUUAUUCAAUUUUAAUUAAAACAUAAUAUUGUAAGUUUUUUAUGAAACAAAAUUUUUC
rnacentral:lncRNA from 1 species